rnacentral:snRNA from 1 species
GUGCUUGCUUUUGCAGCACAUAUACUAAAAUUAGAAUGAUGGAGAAGAUUAGCAUGGCUUCCAUGCAAGGAUGACAUGGAAAUCCGUGAUGCGUUCCCUAUUUUU